CUGCACAGUGGUGCAGUUGGUAGCGCUAUUACCUUGAGCAAGAAGGUCCUGGGUUCGACUCCCAGCUGGGAGU